rnacentral:miRNA from 1 species
CACAUUCAUUGCUGUCGGUGGGU